rnacentral:rRNA from 3 species
GGAUGCGAUAAUACCAGCACUAAAGCACCGGAUCCCAUCAGUACUCCGAAGCUAAGUGUGCUUGGGCGAGAGUAGUACUAGGAUGGGUGACCUCCUCGGAAGUCCUCGUGUUGCACUCC